rnacentral:rRNA from 2 species
UAACGAUGAAGAACGCAGCGAAAUGCGAUACGUAGUGUGAAUUGCAGAAUUCCGUGAACCAUCGAAUCUUUGAACGCAAAUUGCGCUCGAGGCUUCGGCCAAGAGCAUGUCUGCCUCAGCGUCGGCU